CUUCACCGACCCCAGCCACAACGGCCGUCCCUCGGGGCGCUCUUGACCGUAGGUGGCAAGGAGGGCCUGCGCCUC
rnacentral:antisense_RNA from 1 species